UUAAAAUCCUGCAGUUCAAAUCUGAGUGAUAUUUGAAAGGUCCAGCCUGACCCUCUCUAAGUCUGCCUUUUAAUUAACCAGGCUUUUUAUAGCACACUGUGUUCUCCUCCCUGCCAGGGCAACUUGCAGGACUUCUCCAGGUGAGAAUUCCAGAAGCACCUUCACUAGGAUGUUCUGGAUGCAGCAGGAUGGUAACACUCCAGCACAGUAUUGCCAGUACCUGCAUCAGAAGGUCUUACUCUGGAAGCUCCCUGGGUCAUGGUUGAAGCCCUCAGGAAUAUGGGUGCCCAUGGACAGAAGCAUUGCAGCUGCAUCAAGGUGGAGUUGUCCAGAGUGACUUCUGGGGCCACUUAUCCCAGAUAAACCAGUAGGCACAGCCAAGGAGCAGCUUGUACCUCUGGAAAAGCCAAUUGCCACAUCCCAUUUUACCCAGACUGCUGCUGAUUUCCAGGUACAACAUAGAGAGGUCUCGGGAGCGAAAGGGGGCAGAGUGUGAGGACAAUAAGAUAAGGCUGCACAUGCUGUGACAGCAGUGAGUUAGUGCUGGUCAGAAAACAGGAAAAUUGAAUGUCAGGGCUGGCACCACCAACAAACAAAGCACAAACAGCAUCUCAACAGAAGCAGCACAGCUUGA
rnacentral:lncRNA from 1 species